AACGUUAAGGGCGUCGAGCGGCGGACGGGUGAGUAAUGCCUGGGAAUAUGCCUUAGUGUGGGGGAUAACUAUUGGAAACGAUAGCUAAUACCGCAUAAUGUCUUCGGACCAAAGAGGGGGACCUUCGGGCCUCUCGCGCUAAGAUUAGCCCAGGUGAGAUUAGCUAGUUGGUGAGGUAAGAGCUCACCAAGGCGACGAUCUCUAGCUGGUCUGAGAGGAUGAUCAGCCACACUGGAACUGAGACACGGUCCAGACUCCUACGGGAGGCAGCAGUGGGGAAUAUUGCACAAUGGGCGAAAGCCUGAUGCAGCCAUGCCGCGUGUAUGAAGAAGGCCUUCGGGUUGUAAAGUACUUUCAGUAGGGAGGAAGGU
rnacentral:rRNA from 1 species